AUUGAACGCUGGCGGCAUGCUUUACACAUGCAAGUCGAACGGCAGCGCGGGCUUCGGCCUGGCGGCGAGUGGCGAACGGGUGAGUAAUACAUCGGAACGUGCCCAGUAGUGGGGGAUAGCUCGGCGAAAGCCGGAUUAAUAACGCAUACGACCUGAGGGUGAAAGAGGGGGAUCUUUGGACCUCUCGCUAUUGGAGGGGCCGAUGGCCGGUUAGCUAGUUGGUGGGGUAAAGGCCUACCAAGGCGACGAUCUGCAGCUGGUCGGAGAGGACGACCAGCCACACGGGGACUGAGACACGGCCCAGACUCCUACGGGAGGCAGCAGUGGGGAAUUUUGGACAAUGGGCGAAAGCCUGAUCCAGCAAUGCCGCGUGUGUGAUGAAGGCCUUCGGGGUGUAAAGCACUUUUGGCGGGAACGAAAAGGACUGUGCCAAUACCACGGUUCGAUGACGGUACCCGCAGAAUAAGCACCGGCUAACUACGUG
rnacentral:rRNA from 1 species